rnacentral:misc_RNA from 1 species
GUAAUAAUUAUUUAUAUCAGAACAGGUAAUGCUAAAUGCAAAAGAGUUUUAAUGUUCCAACGGCAGGUUGCCCCACCGAAGGAGAACGAAAGGUGCUCGUAAAAAAAGGAUUCGGGUAUGUGGAGCGUGAGAGUUUUACCUCUACCGCCCGGGGGGGAUGCCCCCGGGGGCCGCAACCACACCGAUGGGAUAGAUAAUGAUCCUUCCGCAGGUUCACCUACGGAAA